rnacentral:rRNA from 1 species
GACGAACGCUGGCGGCGUGCUUAACACAUGCAAGUCGAACGGUGAAGCGCUUGCCUUUUUGGUGGGUGUGGAUGAGUGGCGAACGGGUGAGUAACACGUGAGUAACCUGCCCUCUUCUUCUGGAUAACCUCAUGAAAGUGGGGCUAAUACGGGGUAUUCCGGGUCUGUCGCAUGGCGGGUUUGGGAAAGAUUGCGCCUUUGGGUGUUUUCGGUGGGGGAUGGGCUCGCGGCCUAUCAGCUUGUUGGUGGGGUGAUGGCCUACCAAGGCGGUGACGGGUAGCCGGCCUGAGAGGGUGGACGGCCACACUGGGACGGAGACACGGCCCAGACUCCUGCGGGAGGCAGCAGUGGGGAAUAUUGCACAAUGGGCGCAAGCCUGAUGCAGCGACGCCGCGUGAGGGAUGGAGGCCUUCGGGUUGUGAACCUCUUUCGCCAGUGAAGCAGGCCUGCUCCUGUGUGGGUGGGUUGACGGUAGCUGGAUAAGAAGCGCCGGCUAACUACGUG